rnacentral:rRNA from 1 species
CCUACGGGAGGCAGCAGUGGGGGAUAUUGCACAAUGGGGGAAACCCUGAUGCAGCGACGCCGCGUGGGCGAAGAAGUAUUUCGGUAUUUAAAGCCUUAUCAGCCGGGAAGAAGAAAUGACGGUACCUGAGUAAGAAGCACCGGCUAAAGACGUGCCAUCAGCCGCCGUCAUACGUAUGGUGCCAGCGUUAUCCGGGUUUACUGGGUGAAACGGGAGCGCAGGCGGUACGGCAAGCCCGAUGUGAAAGCCCGCGGCCCAACCGCGGGACUGCAUUGGGAACUACCGGGCUGGAGUGCCGGAGAGGUAGGCGGAAUGCGUAGUGUAGCGGUGAAAUGCGUAGAUAUUAGGCGGAACACCGGUGGCGAAGGCGGCCUACUGGACGGUGACUGACGCUGAGGCUCGAAAGCGUGGGGAGCAAACAGGAUUAGAUACCCGAGUAGUC